rnacentral:SRP_RNA from 1 species
GCCAGGCACGGUGGCACGUGCCUAUAGUCCCAGCUACUCAGGAGGCUGAGGUGGGAGGAUCACUUGAGCCCAGGAGUUCUGGGCUGUAGUGCGCUAUGCCGGUCGGGUGUCCGCACUAAGUUUGGCAUCAAUAUGGUGACCUCCUGGGAGCAGGGAACCACCAGGUUGCCUAAGGAGGGGUGAACCAGCCCAGGUUGGAAACAGAGCAGGUCAAAACUCCCAUGCUGAUCAGUAGUGGGAUUGCGCCUGUGAAUAGCCACUGCACUCCAGUCUGGGCAACAUAGCGAGACCCCAUCUCU